rnacentral:sRNA from 1 species
AUUGCCGAGUAUAAUAAUUUUAAAGCAAUUAAAGCAUUCGGCAAU